UACAGAGGUCUCAAGCGUUGUUCGGAUUCAUUGGGCGUAAAGGGUGCGUAGGCGGCGCGGUAAGUCGGGUGUGAAAUCUCGGGGCUUAGCUCCGAAACUGCAUUCGAUACUGGCAGGCUUGAAUCCGGGAGAGGGAUGCGGAAUUCCAGGUGUAGCGGUGAAAUGCGUAGAUAUCUGGAGGAACACCGGUGGCGAAGGCGGCAUCCUGGACCGGUAUUGACGCUGAGGCGCGAAAGCCAGGGGAGCAAACGGG
rnacentral:rRNA from 1 species